AGAGUUUGAUCCUGGCUCAGAAUGAACGCUGGCGGCGUGCUUAACACAUGCAAAGUCGAACGAGAAAAGUUUCCUUCGGGGAAGCGAGUAGAGUGGCGCACGGGUGAGUAACACGUGGGUAAUCUACCCCUCAAUUUGGGAUAACAUUGCGAAAGUGAUGCUAAUACCGAAUAACAUCCAUAAUACUUUGGUAUAGUGGACCAAAGGUGGCCAAUCCUUGGAAGCUACUGUUGGGGAUGAGCCUGCGUACCAUUAGCUAGUUGGUGGGGUAAUGGCCUACCAAGGCUACGAUGGUUAGCUGGUCUGAGAGGAUGAUCAGCCACACUGGGACUGGAACACGGCCCAGACUCCUACGGGAGGCAGCAGUGAGGAAUCUUGCGCAAUGGGGGAAACCCUGACGCAGCCACGCCGCGUGGGUGAAGAAGGCCUUCGGGUCGUAAAGCCCUGUCAGGUGGGAAGAACCGCAAGGGGAAUGAAAAAGUCCUUUGCCUGACGGUACCACCAAAGGAAGCACCGGCUAACUCCGUGCCAGCCGCCGCGGUAAUA
rnacentral:rRNA from 1 species